ensembl:piRNA 21ur-7368 ncRNA
UUCAUAUCGAAGAUUAAAUUA